rnacentral:rRNA from 1 species
GAUGAACGCUGGCGGCGUGCCUAAUACAUGCAAGUCGAGCGAACAGAUGAGGAGCUUGCUCCUCUGACGUUAGCGGCGGACGGGUGAGUAACACGUGGAUAACCUACCUAUAAGACUGGGAUAACUUCGGGAAACCGGAGCUAAUACCGGAUAAUAUAUUGAACCGCAUGGUUCAAUAGUGAAAGACGGUUUUGCUGUCACUUAUAGAUGGAUCCGCGCCGCAUUAGCUAGUUGGUAAGGUAACGGCUUACCAAGGCAACGAUGCGUAGCCGACCUGAGAGGGUGAUCGGCCACACGGGAGCUGAGACACGGUCCAGACUCCUACGGGAGGCAGCAGUAGGGAAUCUGCCGCAAUGGGCGAAAGCCUGACGGAGCAACGCCGCGUGAGUGAUGAAGGUCUUCGGAUCGUAAAACUCUGUUAUUAGGGAAGAACAAAUGUGUAAGUAACUAUGCACGUCUUGACGGUACCUAAUCAGAAAGCCACGGCUAACUACGUG